rnacentral:lncRNA from 1 species
GAUAAGACUUGCUUACUUAGUCUGCUCCACUGCAACUUCAGGGAGAUAAGACUAGAUACGAUCUGCUCUCUGCAACUUCAGAGAGAUAAGAUUUAAGGUUUUAAUCCGCUCCACUGCAACUUCAAGGAGAUAGGAUUAUCGGCCACCGAUCUGUUCUCUAGGGAACAUGACCUGUAAAAAUCCAUUCUAUGAACUUAAUUAUGCCUAGUGAUUAGGAUGUUAUGAUCAAAAUGAUUUCAAUGCUCCUAACUAGACAUGCAUGAAUGACAUUUGAAUGAAUGCAGAAUGUCAUUUUUCGAGAAUUAUCACUCAAGUUAUCAUUUCUCAAAAUUUAUUAAGCUUUUGUCGCUAACGUUUUUUGCUUGGCUAAACGCUUAAUCAAAUUGCCCCCUAUUUUGAACUUCAAAGCUUAAUCCAUUAGGACAUAAAAUUUGUACCAUCAUUCUCCCUCUGCAGCCCGAGGGUAGAACUGUAUGGCUUUUCCUCAAUCCACUCCUAUCACAAUUCAAGGAUACAGGAUCUAAAUCUUUCUGGUCUCUUACACCAUUCCCAGGGUGUCGUACCAAAGGCUCAUGCGCAAAUGAAAGCUCUCUUCCCCGAGGUAGCCUCUUUCAAUUGUCUGGUGAUCAUUGCUUACUUGUUUAUUUUAGCUUUGUCACCAAACUGACAUCUUAUCAUUUGGUUCAACCAAUGUUUUUGACAACAAAAUCCAAAGAGAAAGUCCUAGUUUAGACUCUUCCUUUUUAGAUUUCCAACCUUUAAACCUAGUGCGUUCUAAAUAAUAGUCAUGUUUCAAGCUUCUGUAUUAUUUAGAAACUUAUAGAGCAAUAUGCAAAACUUCCCUUGUGGAAGUUUUGUUAGUCCAUUAAUCAUUAUUCCAAUGCAACAUGCUUGCGAAAAAUGUCAUAACAAUGGAUAAGAAUAAAGUUAGUUCUGAGCAUAGCUCGAAAGGAAUAAAUUAUCAAAAAUAGUAAAGAAGGAUAAAGAAAUAGAUUGGGAAUGCGUAUCUUGGAAAAGAAUGAAGUAUUCCAAGAACAACAAAUUUAAAAUAAAUAGUAUGGAGAUGAGGUGCCCCAGAUAUCGCAGCUUGAACUUCUCUGUACAAACUUUCUGAAGACCCUUCUGAGUUUGACAUGUGUUUGAGAGAUCUACAGUACUCUGUCGAUGCCUCAAGGUGUUGCCUACUCUUUCCUAAUAAUUCAGGUAUAGCAAGAUCACCACAUGCCCCAAUCAGGUUAAAAUUUGAGUUGCUCUAAUCACCUCGUGCCCCAUUCCGAUCAAUAUUUGAGUCGCCCUUUCUGGGUUUUCAACUCAAAUCCCCUUUGGUCUCAAGGUGCCUUUUGCGGGUUUUCACUUUGGCCUCUCCAUUUUCCUUUUCUUUUUCUUUUUAUCACUUUUUCUUCUUUUUUUUCUCUUUUUUUAUAUUUUGAUUUUGACUUUUUUUUUGAAUCUGAACUCAUAGGAUUAGGCAAGUCCUCGUUAUCCCUUUCGAUCAGAAUCAAAUUUCUUUCAUAGAGCCUUUUGGGGCGAAAUUUAACUAACUUCGAUGGGCUAAACCAUGAUGAGCCAAAGAAGAAGGCAUUGUCCCGGCAAAGAAUCCUAAAUGCAUCGUUCAUGAUGUUAAUCUUGAACAUACUAUAAAUUUUUGAUAUCGUAUUAUUGUUCAGAUUACAAUGUCAGUGCUUACCCAAGCAUAUCCUGAUAUGACCAUACAAAGACAUCUUUGAACUCUUUGAAGUAACUCAAUAAGGUUUUGCUUCAUUUUUUCGAUUAUGCACGUUCCCUUAAGGUCACAAUCUCCAUUGUCUCCUCAUGAGGUAAGAUUUUAUUCCUGUUCUACCAUCCUCAACAAGUCUGAAAAUAGGCUACAAUCUAUGUCAUCUUUAAAGUCAUGAGAUUCCUCUAAACACAGAUCCCACUCAAAAGGAACUUCUGAGUUCGGAACAGCAUCGCUCAUGUCAUUGAUAUCUGGGGACCCAUAGUAGGUACCAAAGAAUAUACAAAAGAAUGUAUGAAUAAUCAUUUGUACAAUUAUGAAUGAAAUAAAAGAAUAAUAUGGGAGAAGAUUCGAAAGAAUGAAAGUAUAAUUAUUUGAAAAGAAUGAAAGAAUAUUGGAUUAAAAAAUGAAUGCAAAGAUUUAUUUUAUUAGAAUAACGACGUUCAGACAUGAGCCUAUUUCAUAAAGGAAUUCUUAUUGCCUCUAGGCUGAAUGCAACAAGUGUGUUUUGAACAUUACUCUGAGUAAUCUCUAAAUACUACAGGGGUUUCUUCUGCAGUCUAAUUAUUUAGAACACUCGCAAGUCUAUAAGGGCAAAAAUCUGACAAGGUCCCUUCUUCAGUUGUUUCAUCGUGAACACUUCUCGACACCCCUUCAUAUAUUGCAUUCAAUCAUGACUGGGUACUAGAUGAGCCAUCCAUCUUGACAAUACCCAUGUUGAUGAAUUUUUCAACAGCUUUUUGAAGGUAAUGCAAUUCUCUAUAGAGUGUCCCAUAAUUCCCGCAUGAUAAUCGCAUUGUGCACUUGCGUCGUACCAUUUGGGAUACGGAGGCUGUGGAGGCUUCACAUGUAAAGGAGAAACAACAUGCGCAUCGAAUAAGCUUUGAUAUAGCUCCUUGUAUGACAUUGGAAUUGGCGUGAACUGGAGUUUUUCAGUACCUUGCUUCACAUAUGAACCCUGCUGAUUAGCAAUCGAUUUACUGUACGUGUUCACGCUGUUCACCUCAUUUUCUUUUUCUUUUGAGGUUUGCCUUCUGUUAUUUCCUCCAGCAUCAAUCUUUCCGCUCCUUAUGACGCUUUCAAUCAUUUCACCAUUCAUGAUUAUGUCAGAAAAGCUUUUUGUGGCACUCCCUAACAUAUGUGUGAUGAAUGGAGCUUUCAAUGUAUUUAUGAAUAGCAUUGUCAUUUCCUUUUCCAGGAGCGGUGGCUGAACUUGGACGGCGACCUCCCUCCACCUUUGUGCGUACUGCCUAAAGCUUUCAUUUGAUUUUUUUCUAAAUUCUGCAAGGUGAUUCUAUCAGGAACCAUAUUUGUCACAUGACUGUAUUGUUUUAUGAAUGCCUGCGCUAAAUCCCUCCAUGAACCAAUCAUGGUACGGCUCAAUUGAUUGUACCAUUUAGAUGCUGCCCCUACGAGGCUAUCCUGGAAACAAUGUAUCAGCAGCUGGUCAUUAUUAACAUACCCAGACAUCCGUCUACAAAACAUAGUUAUAUGAGCUUUGGGGCUACUAGUUCCAUUGUACUUCUCAAACUCAGGCAUUUUGAACUUGUAAGGGAGCACUAAAUCAGGAACCAAGUUCAAUUCUUUAGCAUCAACCCCAUAAUAGCUUUCAGUAUUUUCCAUCGCUCUAGAUUUUUCUUCCAACCAUUUGUACUUUGCUUCUAGCUGUUUUGACGAUUCAUCCUUCAUUUUCUCUCUUCCAGCCAUUUCAUCAAAGUCAGGGACAGUAGGAUUAAUAAGGUUAUCUCCCAAGUUAGAGCCCGAUCCAACUUGAAAUUUCGUUGGUAUUGAAGCAUUGGCCUGUAAUUGCUGAGACUUAAUGGUGAUAGAAGAUCUGCGUGGAUAUACCUCAACAUGCUGAGGGGUAGAGCCUGAGGGAUAAACAAGUCCCUUACUGUCUCCUUCUUCAAUAUUGAGCACAAAGCCCUUUCCUUUAUCCACUCCUCCCGUCAACAACUGAGUCAACUUAUCCAUCAUACUCCCCUGAUAUUCCAUUAUUUUAUCCAUCAUUUUUUGUUGAAUUUUCUCAAGCUGCUUAUUCAUUUGUUGUUGAAGCUGAUCUUGCAUUUCCUUCUGGAACUGUUCUAGCCUUUGAUCCAUGUCCUUAGUUUCCAAACGAGUACCGUAGCGGCGUUUGGUAGGUUGAUUGGUUUCCAGAUUAACUGAGGAGUGAUUUAAAUUAAUUAGAAUCUUUUGAUGAAUUUUAAUGCUAUGAUAUCAUGUAAUGCGAAUGCACGAAAUGAAUGCAUAAAGAGAUGUUGAUUCUGAUUCAAUUCCAUUUAAAAAACUUUACUAGAAAGCAAAUCUCUUUACAUAAAGUGGAUAUUUAUACGGCUUGCCCUCAUAGGCGAAGAUAUUCAAUCCUCUUCUUCAUUCGAGCGUUAAGAUAAAUCUCACAAACUCUUCAAAAAACGUCUCUUCUAUCUCCUUUUUGCUCGAUCCGAGCCGUAACUUGUUGCUCACUCAUCCUCGUGAUGCUCAUUGGCUUCUCUUUAAGAAGGUUCAGCAGCUCUCAAAUAAUCUUUGUCAUCUGAAUCCUUGGGCAACGGAGCCUUAGUCGUGUAGUCCUCCAUUAAAUUAUCAUCUUUCUCUUAUCACAUGUUCUUGGACCAUAUUCGGACAACCAUAUUGUCAUCCCCUUUAUCAAGAAACCCAUUUCCUUAUGACAAACUCUCUAUUUAGCAACUGAAUGUGAAUCAACACUUCUUUUCUAGGAUGCAAAUGCAAUGCAAUCAUAAUAAAAAUAACAUAAAAAACAAGUUAGUACAAAGUAAAAGCAAAUGAAUAAAGUACCUACUCGGGAAACCACUAGGGUUUGGUGUAAUUACUCCUAAGGUGGGUAACUAGGGUUCACUAUAUGUAGUUUGGCUCUAAGGUAAGGGUACCUGAACUAGCAGAUUCCUCGAUCCUCACCCAUUAUAGGCUCAUACGGACCAAGUUUAGUUCAGGGGAAUACAUUUUCCUAUGGCUACACGGAGAUGAAAAUCUCACGAAGACAUAGGUACGGAUGUAUCCCGAAAGCAAUCCGCUAUCCUGCACGGAGGUGAAGACCUCACGAAGGAAAUAGCUUUUCACUUCCACUUAAAAGGGUACAAUCAUUCAACUCAUGUAAUGAAUAAUGCAAAGAUCAAUUAAGCAAGAAAAUGAAUGAAUGCACAAUGAUCUCAUGAUUUUUUUAAAAAAAAAUUAUUUUCUCAACAAUAAGACAGAAAUUAAUCAACUUUGUGGAUCAACUCUCGUAUGUGUCCCCAGCGGAGUCGCCAAGCUGUCGAAACCAUUUUUUUGAAAAAUAAAAGUUUUAGGUUGUCGACUUUUAAAAAAUGAAAAUUGGGAGUCGCCACCAAUCUUUUAUUGAGGUGUGAUUGGAUCACCUAAAAAACGGCUUUGGUCUACGAGUUUUAGAAAAACGGAUCCGUGAGUCGGUUACGUACGAGGAAGAAUUAGCACCCUCGUAACGCCGAAAAUUGGUACCUAGUUAAUUAAUUAAUGUCUUAAUGUCGAAAAUUUGAAAAAUAUAAUCCUUAGCAAAAACUGAAAAACAUUACGUAUUAAGACCCUUAUCAUUUCAGAGAAAGAAAAUGCCAUACCCAAUGCGUUAGGGCACGGCAUUCUAAUUUCCUUAAAAAUGAAUUAGGCCAAAAUACUCGUACAAUAAAAAUUUAAAAGAAUAUCCAUUUAUUCAAGAUUUAAGAAAUCGCGGCCCAAUACGUUAGGGCACAAUUCCUCUAAAAUCCUAAACUCGGAAUAUUUCCUUUAUUAUUAUUUUUUAGAAAAAAUCUUCAUUUCGAGAAAUCAAUGCGUCACAUCCAAUACGUUAGGACACAACGUGUCAAAUUUCUAAUAAUGAGUUCUUAUUUUUUGAUUAAAGAGAAAUGCUCGAUUGUUAGAUUUAACAAAGAAAAUCGGAACCCAAUACGUUAGGGCUCAAUUUCCUUGAAAAUCCUAAAUACGAACAUUAUCUCAAUUUUGAAAAUUUUCUAUUUUUAAAUUCGAGUAAAAGAUGAUGUAACGUUAUUUUAUAUGUGUAAAUGUCGUAAUAACAAUGAUAACAAAUACAAUAAUGACAUAAAAAUAAUAUAAACAAAUAAAUAAAAAAAUAAAAGAUAUGAAAAUAUAAAUCAGCAAACAAAUAAAAAAAUAAAAAAAUAAAUGAAGAAAGGAAAGUGCAUAACAUAUACAUUGGAAUUAUAAGAAAUAAAAUACACGAUUUACAUAUAAAAUUUGAAUUAUAAAAUUUAUAUAAGUAUACAAUGCAUUUAUGAAAAUAAAGAAAAAUGUAUAAAUAUACAUAUAUAAAGUUUAAAAUAUAUGUGUGAAAAAAAUAUAAAUAUGUAUUUAAGCAUUUUCAAAAAUAUAAAAAAUAUGUACGUAUAUGUAUGAAAAUAUAAUAGAAUAUUCAAAAAAAAUAUGUAUACAUGUAAAACAUAUUAAAGAUAAUUUAUUAAUAUCUACAUUAAGAAAAAAAAUAUGAAUAUAUAUAUAUAUAUGAAAAAAAUAGUUGAAAGAAAAUAAAGAUGUUCAUAAGAAAAUAAUAAAUAUACAUAUAUAAUUAAAAAGAAUUACAUAAAAAAAUAAUUACAUCCUAAAAAUUAACUAAUUUUAAGAAAGAUAUAAAAAGAACUAAAUUGAAUUGCAAAUAAAAAAUUUGGGGCAAAUCCGCAAAUAAAUAAAGCCAAAAGGACCACAUUUAAACACACAAAUAAUGUAGAGGGGCUGGAAGGGCAAUUUUCCCUUCUCCCUUUUUUAAAAUCGUAGAUAAGUAAAAAAUAAUCGAAAAAAAAAGAAAACAGUAAGCCACCUUUAAAAAAAAAACUACCAAUCGUUCUCCUUUUUUUUAUUGAUUCUCCCCCUUUUUGAUGAAUGGAGAGGCCUCUAUAUAUAGCUGAGCCUCCCCAAAUCCAACGGUACAAAUCAAUUACAUCAACGGCUAAGAUUAAUGGUUAUCUACAAAUUAAAUCUUUAAGAUUACAAAAUCAUAUCUUCUAAGAUUGUAUAUAUCAUAUCUAAGAUUACAUAUAUCAUAUCUAAGAUUGCAUAUAUCAUAUCUAAGAUUGCAUAUCAUAUCUAAGAUUGUAUAUCCUCGAAAAUUAUGUUUCCAUAUGUGAGCCCGGGCUAAAAUUGGGUAUUACAUUUAUAUAUAUAUAUAUAUAUAUAUAUAUAUAUAUAUAUAUAUAUAUAUAUAUAUUCAUGCAUUUUUCUAAGCCCAUAGUUGGCCACCUAUUUACCCACAUUAAUUAAGUAGCGUAAUUGCUACUUUAGCCCUUUUAAUUUAUUUCAAUCAAUAAUUCAACUUUUAAUCCUUACGCGAUUUAGUCCCUGUACCUUAAUAACUCCUAAUUUCAUGAAAUUUACUAAAUCAAUAAUUAAUUAGCUACCCAACUAACUUCAUAAAUAUUUAAUUAAAUAUUUACGAGUCCGGUUUACGAAAACAAAAUCCUAGAAAUACGUUUUCUGACACCCCGACUAUCGAGUCGUUUACACUGGGCGACGAUUAGGAAUUUUAAUUAUGGGCAUUUAAGUCCAUAUAAUGAAAUGUAAUCAAAUUUUUGGGCUGUUAAUCAAUCCUAAUUAGGUCAAAACAUGAACUCUAUAAAUAGGCAUGUUUAGCCUCAUUUUAGGAGGCUUGGCUAAGUGAGACACUUAGUUAGCUUUAGGUUUUUAUUUUCUUUCAAUUUAGUCCUUUAAAUAGUUUUUGUUCUUGUUUAACUUGGAUUCUAUUUUAAUCCAAGCUUUCAAUUUAAUAGUUUUUAGUUAUUUCUUUUUGGUUUCCAAUCGCAAUCGAAAUUAUCUUCGCAAUUGUUAAAGGAAAUCCCACUUUUGUGCACAAAUCGACAUCGAGACAGAUUUAUUUUCUUAUUCCAUUCUUAUAUUUAAUUUACUAUUUUGUAUGUUAAAUAUGAGUUUAAGGAAUAUUGCAUCUAGGUCCAUUAGUGACUAGUUUCCUUAGGGAGAUUAAUGAACGGAUGUGUGACUAUUAACGAAUAAAUUAAUGUUUAGUUUCGAGUUAGUUGGUUUAAAUUAUGUGCGAUUAAACCCUAGGAAGUGAAAACUAGGGGUGUGCAUUCGGUUAACCGACCCGAAUUAGUUAAAAUCGAAUUAACCGACCUCCAAAAUUUUUUAACCGUUAAUCGAACCGGAAUUUUUUAAAAAAAUAUUAACCGAACCGAAUUUUUUUCGGUUAAAUCGGUCGGUUAACCGAAUUAACCAAAAAUCAUAUGAUUUUUUUGGUUAAAAAUUAACCGAUUUAACCUAUUUAACCGAUUAACCGAUUUAACCUAUUUAACCGAUUAACUGACUUAACCGAUUUAACCGAUUUAACCGAUUUAAAUCACUAUAUAAUUAAAAACAUGAAACAUGAAACAUGAAACAUGAAUUGUUCUCCCAAACGAGUGGGGGUGUGUGUGUGUGUGUGUAUAUAUAUAUUUUAAUUAUUGUAUUUACUCUUUUCAUAACCUUAAAAUUAUAAUCGAUUUAAACAUCGAAAAAUAUCAAUAUCAAUUUUAAUGCUCCCGUAGCUCAUCUUUCUCUCUUUAUUUUUUCUUUUCAUUACCUAACAAUUCGACUCAAAUUCAUAUCUAUGUAUGAACAAUAUCAAGAAAUACAUCAAAUAUAAAACCAAUUUACUCUAUUUAAGCUUAAUGGUAUAUUUCACCAACUAUCUUGAUUAGCAACCUUGAGCAAUCACCGACAAUUCGAUAGAGCCAGCCUGGUGGCACUUCCAUUGGUGUUUGCUUACGAUGGAAUCAUAAAAGGAUAAUAAUUUCUAAUAUUGCGAUGAAAUAUUUUUCAUUGAAAAUAAAACGAACCCUUCGAUAUUAGCAAACCUUACAUUGAAAUUAAAUUUGAUUUUGACUGUUAGGAAACUUCCAAUGACUAAAGCAUGGAUGACUCGAAACUUAAAAUACAGUUUUUAAUAUGGUGCAAGAUUUUUCAGUAAUCUCAACAAAGAUUACAUUAAUUAAGUAAUACGGUUUACGAAAGUCGAUAGUAUUUUAGUAUAAUUUAACCCAAAACAUUAAAAUAUAAAAUCCAAACACUUAAAACAAGAAGAAAGCAAUGAAUGUGCAUAUGCAAUGGUGUCUGCAGCAAUUAUAAAAUGCCCACAUUGUACUUUGUUACAGAAACCAGUUUGACAAUCUGUUUAUGCUUGGUUUUUUUUAAUGUAUCUUUGUGCAGAUCCUAUCACAAUCAUGAGAUUUCCAUUUCCUAAUUUAUUUAAUUAAGCCAUUUUUAAUUAAAUACAUCAGACUUCAGAGUUUGAUGCGUGGUGUUGAAUGAACAAAAACAGAGCAGAACUCUGACCCUUUACAAAAUGAACAAAAUAGCAAGCAGGUCAGGUAUUAGACAUAGUUGGGCCAAGUUGAAGGCGACAUAGCAACCAGUACCAGCUAACCUAAGGCUCACGUACUUUAACUUAGCUCUUUGUGGGUGUUAAUUUUCCAAAGCCACUUCAAAGUUCAAUCAGUGCGAGAAAUGAAAACAAAACCCUAAAAUUAAAAAAAAACAAAGGGAAAUUAGAAGAAACCAAACCUGGCCUUUGGGUAUUAGUCAAUUAGUGUGCUGGAAGAGAAAUGGAUAGCAAAAAUGGUGGAUUUUCCCGAAUGAAAAUCUGAGAUUCAGAUUGAAAAAUGAGAAGUUGAGAACCCGAUGGCAGAUUUGUGAGUUGUGACUUUGUGCUUGGUUGCUUGCUGUCUGUUGAGUGAGUGCUAUUGAGAAAA